GCGAUAGAUUUCAUGUAGAAGAGAAUAAUAUUGUUCAUGUUUGAAUGUACUUUACAUACAACUUCAAAAGUGAAAAGUAGUUGAAAAACAAGUUUACCAAAUUCUCGUGGACUGGCCAUACGACUCUGAGGUUUGACUUUCCAAAUGACUUGUUUAAAACAACAAGAUUAGGACAUUUUGGUACCUCCUAACUGAUAGAUGAAAAUGGUGAAGAAUGAACUGAGACUAUUACAGCACAAGAAAGCUCUUCACGAAUUCGAUCCACCUGUUGUUGUGACAUUUCCACUCCUUUCUUUUCUCCUUUUCGAGGGGCAUUUGGCCCCGUUUCUGCUAGAUGGUGCUUGUUACAUGUUGAGAUUAAACUUAGUCUUAAUGGUACACUAAACAUUAGGCAGAAGUGUAUAGUUUUGAGUAAGGAAUGCAAAUAGGUCCAAAUCAAACAAAAAGGAGAUUGAAAAUUCAUAGUAUGGACUAACAAGUUUGGAUUGAAGUGUCAAUAUUGAAUAGGCCUAAUGAUGGACAAAGGCAGGGCAAACAAACCAAGUCCAGGCUCACUAUCACCCUCUCCUGUGCAGUAACACUAGCCUCACCUGUUUGACUUCCUUCCAAUGCUAUAUUUCUAGUUUCCCAAGUGUUUCUCCACACAGC
rnacentral:lncRNA from 1 species